GAUGAAGAACGCAGCGAAAUGCGAUAAGUAAUGCGAAUUGCAGAAUUUCCGUGAGUCAUCGAAUCUUUGAACGCACAUUGCGCCCUCUGGUAUUCCGGAGGGCAUGCCUGUUCGAGCGUCAUUAUCACCCCUCAAGCCCGGCUUGUUGUUGGUUGUAGCGGGUCACACCGCUCUACCCAAAGAUAAUGACGGCGUCUGUGAGGACUCCUGUACACUGAGCUUUCGGGCACGUACUAGGUUAGAACCGCAGACCCGGUCACCGUUUCCCCUUGUGGGAGACACCACUUUUUACCAAGGUUGACCUCGGAUCAGGUAGGGAUACCCGCUGAACUUAAGCAUAUCAAUAAGCGGAGGA
rnacentral:misc_RNA from 1 species